GAGGAGGAAAGAGUUGAAAGGGGCGGCUAUGCAGACUACUGGGCAAGAGAGGCAGAAGAGGGCAAAGAGAGGACCAACGUGUAGAAUGGUCACUAUGCAUGGGGGACAGAGACGUGGAAGAGGAGGAGCUGGAUGAGGCCAGCACAACAGCCCUUCUGACCCUGGAGUUGGUACCCCAUUCUCUGGAUGUGUCCCAGGCAUCGUCCAAGGCUGGGUAAGCCACAUCAGCAUAACAGGGGGACAGUUGACACCACCCGAGGGACCUGCCAGCACUGGAGAC